UACGUAGGGGGCGAGCGUUGUCCGGAAUCAUUGGGCGUAAAGCGCGUGUAGGCGGCUUGGUAAGUCCGGUGUGAAACCUUGGGGCUCAACCCCAAGCCUGCACUGGAUACUGCCUCGCUUGAGUCCGGGAGGGGAGAGCCGGAAUUCCUAGUGUAGCGGUGAAAUGCGCAGAUAUCAGGAGGAACACCGGUGGCGAAGGCGGGUCUCUGGGCCGUAACUGACGCUGGAGGAGCGAAAGCGUGGGGAGCGAACAGG
rnacentral:rRNA from 1 species